UACGGAGGGUGCAAGCGUUAUCCGGAUUUACUGGGUUUAAAGGGUGUGUAGGCGGACUAUUAAGUCAGGGGUGAAAUCCCGAGGCUCAACCUCGGAACUGCCUCUGAUACUAUUAGUCUUGAAUGUUGUUGAGGUGGGCGGAACGGGUCAUGUAGCGGUGAAAUGCAUAGAUAUGACCCGGAACACCGAUUGCGAAGGCAGCCCGCUAAGCAACUAUUGACGCUGAGGCACGAAAGCGUGGGGAUCAAACAGG
rnacentral:rRNA from 1 species